rnacentral:rRNA from 3 species
AAAAGUCGUAACAAGGUUUCCGUAGGUGAACCUGCGGA